UGCCAAAUUGCUGUUUAAUUUAAAACAACAUUUACAAAAUCUGCAAUACUGUAUUAAAUCGUCGGGAGUUUAAUUCGCAAUAUUGUUUGAUUGACAUGUUUACGUGCAAGCGAAUAUAUUUCUUUCGGGCCAGGGUUUUCCCCAAUUGCAGCUGAAUUUUUAUUGGUCAAUUUUAGAAACCAUUAAUUAUGUUAUGACUUGGGCGUGUAGUCAUGAAAGGUGGGCUUUCCUGCAGGCUCUCAAUCCUCCCCCGGAGCCCGCCAAAAUCCUGCCCGCUGCAAAUCAGGCCCCCCAUAAAUUUGAGGGCCUGCCAUGCAGGCUAG